rnacentral:lncRNA from 1 species
CCUCUUCUUCUACUAGUUCAAUGAUAAAAAGUCUCCUUUUACUACAGCGAUGCUCAUGGCUCCACGGCUCGUCGCAAUGCCAACAUAACCCCUUCACAGAUCGCUCCUGAAGCUCUUCUCUUGUCAACCUUUUUGGUGCAGGGACUCGGUCAACAGUAGGGGGGGCUAAGGGCUUCAAUAUUACUGGUUGAGGAGUGACCCUAGUCCUUCAAGCUUCAUGGUUCAAUUGCUCCUCUUGAUGUCGUGCGAAAGA